UUCCCGUAUAGACCUCUCUCUUCCCUCUCGCUCAUCUCUCCUUCUCUCUUUCCCGUAGACAUCUCUCUCCCUCUCGUUCGCAAGCUUUCCUCUUCACAAUCUUGAACAAUCUGUGCAAGUUCUCUAGCAAAUACAAACUCGCAUCUCCAGUUUUGCAGGGGGCCUGAAGCUCCAGGGCAGCUGUAUUCUCUUCCCUUAGGGUUUGGAAGAGUUCGUCCUGCUGCGAGUCAACCUUACCCUUCUGCAAGAGUCCAUGGCUCCAAGGCAGCUGCAUUCACCUCAUUUGGUCUUUGAAAGAGCUUGUCCUGCUGCAAGUCAUUCUUACCCAUCUGCAGGAGUCCAUAGGUACGACAAUCCCUUUAAUUGUACAUUCAGUAUUCUGUGUUUAAGAUGAUUUGAGAAAACCAAUUACAUUUAGAAGCGGACUUGUCAUUAGUCGGAAAAAAUUGUGUUAUUGUCCAAUGCCAUGUGAAGUAGAAUUGACUAGCUUUAGAUAAUUGGCAUUUUAAUUUCUAAGUUGUAGCAGUGUUGUGUGUGUUU